CUUAAUGUGGUGGAAUAUUAGGUCUGGCCUGCCCACUGUGAAUAUGAAGGGCCGCAGUAUUUUGACUGUGCAAAGGUAGCAUAAUCAUUUGUCUUUUAAAUGGGGGCUGGAAUGAAGGGUUAGACGUGAUAAUAACUGUCUCUUGGAUUAUAAUUGAAUUUAAUUUUUGAGUAAGAAAGCUUAAAUAGGGAUAAGGGACGAUAAGACCCUAUAGAACUUUAUAAGAUUUGUUUUUAGAAAGGAAAGUAUUAUUUAGCUGGGGUGGCUAGGAAAGAGGAGGAACUUUCCUUAGUAUAACAUUAUGAAUGGGGAAUAUAGAUCCUUUAUUAAAGAUUGGAGAGUUAGUUACCUUAGGGAUAACAGCUUGAUUUUUUCUAAGAGUGCGUAUCAAUGGAGAAGAUUAAGACCUCGAUGUUGAAUUAAGAUAAUUGCUAGAUGCAGGAGUUUAGUAAAUAGGUCUGUUC
rnacentral:rRNA from 1 species